rnacentral:sRNA from 1 species
GCUGGGCACGCUGGUGCAUGCCUGUAAUCCAAAGGCUCGGGAAGCUGAGAUAGGAGGAUCAUGAGUUCAAAGCCAGCAACAGUGAGGUGCUAAGCAACUCAGAGAGACUGUGUCUCUA